rnacentral:lncRNA from 1 species
AUUCUGAAAGACAGUAAAUAGAGGUUUACUUCAUUCCCUUCCUUCUUUCAGCAAAAACACAGGGUGUGAUGAAGAGAGAAAGCAAAGCAGCUUACUCAUUGGAAUUCUAAGGACAGCUCCAGUUAACAUGAAAGUAAAAAUAAAAACCCAGAAAACCUUUUGGACAGAUUACAACAAAGAAGAAUUCUGAUACCUCUUGUAGAUUCAUUUUCCACCCCAAAGAUUAGGUAACAAAGGAGAUGUGGGAGAGAAAGAAACAAAAUGGGAGAGAAAUUGAGAUAAGAGAGGACCAUGUGAAGGAGGUGAAGUAUUUAAAGUGGAAAGGAGGAAAAUAACCUGAACUCUUAACUGCUCUUGAAAGUUCACUCUGUCUUCACUCCAGCUCUAUUGACUGAUUACCUGUAGCCCACUUGCUAUUCAACAGUCUUUAUCAAAGACAGAUCACUUGGAUACUUUUGUAUGAGUGGUGUCACAAAAAGACAUCUUGAGCCACCAAAUAAGGUGCAAUAUACAAACCAGAAGUCCCAUUCAGCCCAGUAUUUGUUCUCAAAUGUCAUAAAUGCUGUGGACAAGAAA